rnacentral:rRNA from 1 species
UCUUGAUUCUAUAAGAGGUCCAGCCUGCCCAGUGACCUAGUUCAACGGCCGCGGUAUCCUAACCGUGCAAAGGUAGCGUAAUCACUUGUCUUCUAAAUAAAGACUAGUAUGAAAGGCACCACGAGAACUAAACUGUCUCCCUUUUCCAAUCAGUGAACCUAAUAUUCCCGUGAAGAAGCGGGGAUUUUAAAAUAAGACGAGAAGACCCUAUGGAGCUUUAAACAUCAUAAUCACCUGCCCGUAAAACCAAAAUACUCAGGUUACCUCACCAAAAACCACGAUGAUUAUAUGUUUUUGGUUGGGGUGACCGCGGAGAAAAACUUAUCCCCCGCGAUGAAAACCCACCAAACAACAAGCCACAGCUUUAUGUAUCAACAAAUUGACACUAUUGACCCAAUAUAUUGAUCAACGAACCAAGUUACCCUAGGGAUAACAGCGCAAUCCACUUCAAGAGCCCCUAUCGACAAGUGGGCUUACGACCUCGAUGUUGGAUCAGGGUAUCCUAGUGGUGCAGCCGCUACUAAGGGC